rnacentral:rRNA from 1 species
CUGGUAAGGGCGUAUGGUGGAUGCCUUGGUAGACAGGACCGAUGAAGGACGUGACGGGCUGCGAUAUGCCUCGGGGAGCUGCCGAGUGGGCUUUGAUCCGAGGAUUUCCGAAUGGGGAGACCCGGCCACUGUUAUGGGUGGUCACCACAGUUUUUGUGGGGGGUACGCAGGGAAGUGAAACAUCUCAGUACCUGCAGGAAAGGAUACUCCGUGAGUAGUGGCGAGCGAAAGCGGAUCAGGCUAAACCGAGUACGUGUGAUAACCGUCAGGUGUUGCGUAUUCGGGGUCGUGGGAUUGACUGUUCAGCCUCUGACGGGGUUGAGAAGAGUGAUAAAAUGUCGUGUUAUGUGAAUGGGAUUGAAUUCCCAGCCGUAGAGGGUGAUGGCCCCGUAGCAGGUUGCGCGAUGUCUUUUUAUGUUUAUUCCCAAGUAGCGCGGGCCUCGUGGAAUCCCGCGUGAAUCUGCCCAGACCGUUGGGUAAGCCUAAGUAUUCCUGUCUGACCGAUAGUGUACUAGUACCGUGAGGGAAAGGUGAAAAGCACCCCGGGAGGGGAGUGAAAUAGUUCCUGAAACCGUGCGCUUACAAUCCGUCGGAGCCUUCUUUGUGGGGUGACGGCGUGCCUAUCGAAAAAUGAGUCUGCGAGUCAGUGGUAUGUGGCGAGGCUAACCCGGGUGGGGGAGCCGUAGCGAAAGCGAGUUUUAAAAGGCGUUUUAGUCGCAUGUCCUGGACCCGAAGCGGGAUGAUCUAGCCCUGAGCAGGUUGAAGCGCGGGUAAGACCGUGUGGAGGACCGAACCCACCUAGGUUGAAAACUGGGGGGAUGACUUGGGGUUAGGGGUGAAAGGCCAAUCAAAUUCCGUGAUAGCUGGUUCUCUCCGAAAUGCAUUUAGGUGCAGCGUCAUGUUAUUGCUUGCAGGGGGUAGAGCUACUGGAUGCUUGCGGGCCCAUACCGGGUACUAAUAGCAGCCAAACUCCGAAUACCUGUUAGGUUUAUCAUGGCAGUGAGUCGGCGGGGGAUAAGCUCCGUCGUCAAAAGGGAAACAGCCCUGAUCGUCGUCUAAGGUCCCGAAGCGCGUGCUAAGUGGGAAAGGAUGUGGAGUCGCAUAGACAGCCAGGAGGUUGGCUCAGAAGCAGCCAUCCUUGAAAGAGUGCGUAACAGCUCACUGGUCUAGUGGUUCCGCGCCGACAAUGUAGCGGGGCUUAAGCACGCCACCGAAGACGCGACUGCAUGAUUUAGUUCAUGUGGGGUAGGAGAGCGUCCUGUAUGGGGUGAAGCGGCAGUGUGAACUUGUCGUGGACUAUACGGGAGUGAGAAUGCAGACAUGAGUAGCGAGAGACAGGUGUGAAUCCUGUCCGCUGAAUGACUAAGGGUUCCGGGGCCACGUUCGUCGUCCCCGGGUGAGUCGAGUCCUAAGGCGAGGCCGACAGGCGUAGUCGAAUGGAUGAACGGGUUGAUAUUCCCGUACCGGUGUUACACCGUUCGAACUGAAUCUGAGAGUACUAACCUUCGUUAUUCUGGUUGAUUAUCUUUCGGGGUUUUCUUCUGGUUUAGUGUUGGGACUGUAUCGGUAGUAGGUUAGCGUGGGAGUGACGCGGGUAGGUAGCCGGCUGCGGAGGUGGUUUUCCGUGGCUAAGCGUGUGGGCUGUCCUCUAGGUAAAUCCGGGGGAUGUUAAGCUGAGGCGUGAUGGGUAGGCUGUAAGGCUGAUUCCGGUGAUCCUGCUUGCCGAGAAAAGCUUCAACGUGAGGUGUGAUUCCGCUCGUACCCUAAACCGACACUGGUGGUCUGGUAGAGUAUACCAAAGCGAUCGGGCGAAUCCUGGCCAAGGAACUCGGCAAAUUACUCCCGUGCCUUCGGCAUAAGGGAGACCCCUGAUGGUGAUAUGGUUUCACAUUGUUGAGCUGUUGGGGGUGGCACAAGCUAGGGGGUAGCGACUGUUUACCAAAAACACAGGAGCGUGCGAAGGCGUAAGCCGCUGUAUACGCUCUGACGCCUGCCCGGUGCCGGAAGGUUAAGAGGAUCCGUUAGCUUCGGUGAAGCGGUGAAUUUAAGCCCCGGUAAACGGCGGUGGUAACUAUAACCAUCCUAAGGUAGCGAAAUUCCUUGUCGGGUAAGUUCCGACCUGCACGAAUGGCGUAACGACUUCCCCAC